rnacentral:rRNA from 1 species
AGCAGCCGCGGUAAUUCCAGCUCCAAUAGCGUAUAUUAAAGUUGUUGCAGUUAAAAAGCUCGUAGUUGAACUUCGGGGUCUACCCAUUGGUCAGGCUUAAUUGUCUGUACUGGUGAGAUGGAUCUCUACCUUCUGAGGAACUUUCAUGCCAUUUAUUUGGUGUGAUGGGAAAUCAGGACUGUUACUUUGAAAAAAUUAGAGUGUUUAAAGCAGACUAUCGUCUGAAUACAUUAGCAUGGAAUAAUGAAAUAGGACGGACUGAUUCUAUUUCGUUGGUUUCUAGGAUCACCGUAAUGAUUAAUAGGGAUAGUUGGGGGCAUUAGUAUUCAAUUGUCAGAGGUGAAAUUCUUGGAUUUAUUGAAGACUAACUACUGCGAAAGCAUUUGCCAAGGAUGUUUUCAUUAAUCAAGAACGAAAGUUAGGGGAUCGAAGACGAUCAGAUACCGUCGUAGUCUUAACCAUAAACUAUGCCGACUAGGGAUCGGACGAAGUUAAUUUUAUAAUGACGCGUUCGGCACCUUACG